AUCAUAUCGAGAAAAGGCACGAGCUUGCUUCCAUUUAGUAGUUUUUAAGCUUGAUCCAUUUGAUUUAGAAUGAAAGUCUCAGAAGUGCUAUAUCUUCUGAUUAUUUUGCGAGAGCUGUAAAGAAUUUUUUUGUUGGGCUGUGUCUCUUCUAAAUUUUCUCUUUUAAGUGAAAAACCAAGUCCUUGCCUGUUUAUUUGUUACAGAUGAAAGUUCUGGUUCAGAAAAAAAGGAAGCUACUUUGUCCACGCAUUUAGAAAGUGUCGCGAUUAAAAGAAAGAUCUGAAACAGAGAAGAGCCUACUCAAGAUGAAUGCAUUAGUUCUGAAGCUUAUGGCAUUGAAAACAGAGAGAAAAGAGUAAAACAGUCUACUGAGAAAAACUUGAAAGCUAAAGUAGUUUCUUCAAAAGAUAUCUCAAAAGAAUGGAAGAAUGUGCUUAUUUGUGAUAUCAUAUCCAUGUUAUCCAAUAUGUUUGAUAUGUUAAGUUGAAUUGUAUGUGUUUUAAUCAGUUUGGUCUUUUGCAGAUAAAACCACUCAGAGUUAGAUAUGGUACUGGUCUAUCUGGAUCAGAUCAUGACAUGGAAGGGCGUAUGGUAACUGCUGAAUUCGACUCCUUCUACUUGAUAAGUACUUAUGUCCCUAAUUCUGUAGAUGGCUUAAAAGGACUGGUACUCCUCAAAUUAAAUGCGUGUAGUUGACAUAGAUAUUCUACUUUUCUUCUUAUUCUAACGAAUGGACUCCGUGGGUUUUCACAUACAGGAUCGAAGAUUGGGAUCGAACCCUUAGCAAUCACAUCAAAGUAUGAAAACGUUUCUUCAGAGUUUCUUUAUUUUGUUGUAUAUGUCCUUCUUACACAAGCUCAAUGGCUCUUUUCCAUCUGCAGGAUCUGGAGAAGUCUAAGCCUGUAGUCUUGACUGGUGAUCUAAAUUGUGCUCAUGAAGAGAUUGAUAUCUUCAAUCCCGCGGUAACUAACUCGAGUUCUUCCCUCCCCUGUUUUUCCAUCGAAAGUAAUCUCUCAGGUUUCAUAAUUCUCCACCAUAUCUUAUAACUAGGGGAACAGAAGAAGUGCUGGUUUUACGAUAGAAGAAAGACAGUCUCAAACUUCUUAGAUAAGGGAUUUGUAGAUACAUUUAGGAAGCAGCAUAUCUGGUGUUGUCGGUUACACUUAUUAGGGUUAUCGCCAUGGUGGCCGCAAAACCAACAAAGGUACGAUAAGUUCGUUUGAUACAUAUAUUCAGAUUCAAGUCCUCACGAACGACCUUGUUUUUUUACGUUUUUAGGAUACCAUUCAAAAGAAUAUAUAAGUGAAGCAAGCAUGAGAGGUGCAAUUCUCAAAGCCAAUGAUAUUCCUGGGCAUAUUCUUAGUCCAGCUCCAAACAAUAUCAUCUCGAAAUUUUUACCUAUCGUCUCAAUGCCUCGUCCCAAGAAUCUCUAUGGCUUGAACCGUUCCGCGUUUUCCCAAAUGAUCGAGUCUCUUUCUAUAGCCCAAUUGUUCACAAGAAUCUGAGUAUUUUCAGGAAUGGGAUACCCUAAAAUCUCUAUGUUUGACUCAAAUUUAUGCGGGAUGAGAAAUAGACUUGGUGGGUGCAAAAGGAGGGUCUCUGUUACAACAGCUCACUACAAGAAUAUUGAUCUUUUGUAGCGUUCGAAUAACGCUAUCUAACUAUACUAUAGCGUUUUAACAAGCGCUCUAUCAUCGUCCGUCAUAGUAGGUCGAAGACGUAAUAUAGCGGAUUUUCUUUGUGCUAUUGUACUGUUAGUUAUUAUAGCGCAUUCUUUGCUGAAAUAUUAGAUUUUACAAUAGCAUUUCAAUUUUGUUAUUAAUGAUAUUAUUCAAUGCAAUUAGAAUUUAAAUUUAAAAUUUUUGAAUUUAAAAUUUGAAUUCCAAUAUUCAAUUCAUAAUAUAUAGAAAACCAAAUCAUUUUAUUGAUAUAAAAUUUUAACAUAAAAAUUCAAUGAAACAAGGAACAAAUUAUCUCUAAAGAGGAAAACAAAAUACAAAGCAAUCAAAUGAGAUAACGAAAAAACUCAUGGUUGCUAUGGCCACGUACACUUUGCAUUCCUUCUUCUUCUUCUUCUUUGAAGUUCACAGCCUUUCAAUGAAGAUGAGCACAACAACUAAAUCCAAAACUAAUUAACUUAAGAUUUUAAGAAGUAAUCAUGGAACAACACAUUCUAAAGUAAACAAAAACGAAAAAGGACAAACAGAGACAACCUUUUUAUCAUACAAGCAAGAUUUUUUUAUCAAACUUCUUGAUACCUGCAAGUAUCCAUAUAAGCAUCCCAAUAACCAUAUAUCACAACCAAUAAGCAAAAUUCAGUAAUCAAUAUAAGCCCAACACUUAAUGAGUAAAGAAUGUGCACAUACCCAGAUAGAUCGUUGAUUCUCUUGCCAAGUUCCUUAAUUUUAUACACCAUUUUCUUGAUAGGUUCAGAGUAAUGCCUUAACCUCUGCAGAUGAAUGACAAUUAAAAAGCAAGAAAACAUAUGGAGAGAGAACAAAUAACAAAAACAAGUAUGACUAUGAC
rnacentral:sRNA from 1 species